UACGUAGGAUGCAAGCGUUGUCCGGAAUUAUUGGGCGUAAAGAGUUCGUAGGCGGUUUAGUAAGUCAGGGGUUAAAGACUGAGGCUCAACCUCAGGAGUGCCUUUGAUACUGUUAGACUGGAGGAUGGCAGAGGAAAGUGGAAUUCCAAGUGUAGCGGUGAAAUGCGUAGAUAUUUGGAGGAACACCAGUGGCGAAAGCGACUUUCUGGGCCAUAACUGACGCUGAGGAACGAAAGCGUGGGGAGCAAACAGG
rnacentral:rRNA from 1 species